CCCAGUUUUUUGGGUUCUUUUCUAGAUGGGUAAGAUUUUGCUCAUGACCUGUGAGCACUGCACGGGACACCUUCUUGAUGCAUCUCCAUAAUCCCAUCCUGCAGCUUCUCCAGUUAUCCCUUCCUGCAGUAAUCAAAACUGAGUUUACGGUGAAGCUUUAGCCCUGAUGAUUGACAAGAAAGUAAUCUAAAGUGACCUGUCACCUAAACGUGAACUUUCCUAGAAGAGAAAGAAAAGAGUGCCUGAUGAGGAAAAUCCCCCUGCUCCCACCAUGUAUUGGCGUUUCGGCUCCAGAUAAUAUUUUCUGUGUAUAAUAACUUGCACAGUCUGAGGGAAGCUUGUCGUGAAUUUGUCCACCUUUAAUCAGCGUUCAGGCCGGAGGGCGGCUUCCCACCCCUGUGCACGGGUUGGCGUGCCGCUGCUGCCGCUCGGGAAUGGUUUGCUCUCUCCGCAGCUCAGCCAGCUCUCCAUCAGAUUGUUUGGGAAGUCAGCGGGGCUGCCGGGUACCAGGAUAAAGUUCUUGGAAAGGCGUCACCGCAAGAGGACUGACAGUGCACACAGGAACCAGUUACAGGCAGUCACUGAUUCGUUUGCUGCUUGAGUGCCAAUAAAACAUUUUCAGAAAUGGAAGGAGAAAAGGGUCAAACUGCUAAAGCUACCAGUGCAGUGGGUGACCUGAGGAAAAGUUGGCAGACCUGGGCAGAGGAUCACAUUGAGUAUCAGAGGAAGAAUCCAUUCAGCAGUGAUGACAGGCUUGCGUCUAAACCCGCACAUACUCACAGAGGAGAUCCUACCUACGGGAGACCCCCUGAAGGGUCUCGGACAGAGCAGAGAGGGAAAGAUGCUCACUCACACGUGGGUAAGGAAGUAGAAGAGCUGUGCUCGAUCAUCAGAAGAACUGGAGAGGUGGGAGAAGACGGACACGUGCGAGUGACAUUCGGGCAGCUGUUUGAAACAUACGUGACUAUUUCCAAUAAAGUAGUGGGAAUCUUGUUAAGAGCCAGAAAACACGGUCUGGUUAAUUUUGAAGGUGAAAUGCUUUGGCAAGGAAAAGAUGAUGAUGUGGUCAUCACUUUACUACAAUAAGGCUUUGUCCUGGAAUGAACUUUGCCAAAUGGUUCCAUUUGGAAAAACAUCUAGACACCAUCUUCACAGGUUUUGGUUACAGAAUUUCAACUCAGCUACCUACUGGGACACAAGCAGGAGAGGAAAUGGGCGAGGAUAUUUUUAUAAAAAUGGUAGAGAUUUGAACAGAAAUCACAGAUUAUGAGCUACUCCAUCAUGCUGACAUUGGAUUGUCCUUAUUAUCAUCUACUAGCAAGUAUAUGCGAGUUCUUCAAAUAACUGCUGGCCUGCUGCUUUUACGUUGCUGAAAGUAUAAAUUACUAACUUGCUAUCCUACACCACUGAUUGCUGCAGGUUGUGAAAUACUUACUGUGUGGGAGAAUGGGAUUUGUAGAAUGUGGAAUUGAAAACUCUUGAGGGAAUUCAUAUACUUCUUCAAAAAAAGAGCCUGGUAUAUAGCAAAAUUUUAGGUUCAAUCUCACAUGGUUAAACUGAAUAAAUGGAAGUUAUUUUCAUGAAGUAGAUAGUAAUUCCCAAACUUACAAAAAUAUCACAGCAAGGAUACUUCAUUAGUCCUAAAUUAGUUGCAUCUUGCUUGGAUUUUGGACAGCUGCACUGAUUCUGGUAUUUAAUAGCCUAAUCUUACAAUCAUAUCUUCUCCAAACCUUCUGUGUCUCUCGUUCUUUUUGCUUUCUAUUUCACACCAUCUUUACCUUUUCUGUUCUUCUAAUGCUUCAGAAGUCCACAAAGCUCUGCAAAGCUCUUUUUGGUGAAUUCAGCCAUAUCCCUUCAGAGAAGGUGGAGUGCCACAAUGUAAAGAUGCAAAAGUCAGCAUAUACUCUGUAUUGGGGCUCCUGUGCAUUCAUAAGGAAAAAAAAGGCUCUUAUUUCACCAAAAUGUAGCAAUGUUUUUCACAAUGGGAGAGUAGAGAUACUACAGUACCAACUGUGUAAAUGAAAGUAUAGCAGCACGGUCCCAUACCUCAUUUACCUGCUUUCAGAGCACAGCUGUGAGCUCUUUAGAAAGAAAAAUAAAGGAUUGGUUAUAUAACAUAGUUGUAAUAGUGCUAUGAAAAGUAAUCUGAAGCUGUAUUUACAAUAGUUCCCACCAAUAAAGCUGUAUCAUUAGAAAUCUAAAGUUCUAAUUUUUAGCAGUGCAAAUUCUAUGUGGUAUUAACUAUACUACUUGAUGGGUCUUUAAGAUACUGUUCUUGCAUAAAAAGGAUAUUAAAAUUUAAUAUAAAUUAGGAACUUGAUAACAGUGAUGUGUAAUUUUAUGCUAUUUAUAUAAAAGAACUUCUGUUGCAAAAAGCCUAAAAGAAUGGGGUUUUGUUUUGAUAUUUUCAUCCAAUGGGGAUUUGACUCUAAGUCUUUGGCUGAGGAUUUCAUUAUUUUCCUGCCUCCUUUUUUCUUUUUCUGGUGAAAGGACAAUGAAAAGAAGAAAAAAAAUGAAUUAAUUAAUGUGCUGAAAUAAGUAUAUCUGGGGAACAGGACAGUCAGAUGCAGGUAGAGAAUGGAUUUUAAUCACCACAUAAUUUUACCCCAUAGGAAAAGGGGGAAUAUGUGCUGCACCAGGCACUGUUGGUGUGCUCCCUUAGGUUUCAAACCUACUGCUUCUUUCUAAACAGAUCUACAUCUUGCAGAUGAAAAAGGACAUGUAGUUUGUGACCUUAACAUAUUUAAAAUGCUUUGCUCUUUUUGGAAAAGCAUUUCUUGCCAAAUGAUAUGAGCACACCUCUCAGGGUAUUUCAGCUCCUGUUAGAGGAAGUCUUUACAUGCAUUCAGAUUUCAAUACAAAUUGAGCUUUUUAUAGUGCAGAUAUGGAAUGAAUUUUGUUUAGUUCUAACAAUUCUGAAAUUCUCUCAGUUCUGCUGAAGUGUUAGCUCAAUAACUUGCAGGAAGCAGCAUCAGGCACUUCAAGUGUCACCAAUUGACUAAUGGAAUGGCACUAUCAGGAAAAAUAAUACAAUAAUAAUCCAAUGUUGGACAUUGUACAAAUAAUUCAUUGCAUGACACACAUGUGAGAUAGUACAUAGCCUGAGCACCAUAAGAUGCAAGUUCAGCUCACAUAGAUUUACUCCAUUUUAAUUAAGGCUGGUUCAAAUAGUUAAAUAUCAGCAAUCCAGGCUGUCACUGCCAUGUAAGUGGUAGAUGCUUGAGCACAUCUACAAGCACUUUAAGUACACCUCUGAUCAAAACAGAAGCAGAGCAAGCCCUUAAUGACAUGGUCUUACCUACUUUAUAAGCAACUAAAAAAAAGCUUGCUCUAUUAUUUUAUUUUUAAUAGAACCAAGGAUUACUAUAUAACAAAACUAUUAUUUAUAGAGGGAUUUUUUUUUAAACAGUUACAGAGCUAUGUUUCCAACCUGCCAGCUUUAGAUGAGCAUUCUGGAAAAUGGAACCGAAAUCUUUCUGUGUGCCCAUGUAAUGAUUAUAAACACCGAGCUGCCAAACUGGCUCAGCACACAGGUUGACAAAUCCAGGCUUGUGCUUCCAGCAAUAGCCAGUAUUUAAAAAAAAAAGACUAGAAGAUCGAUAAUAGAACUGGUCAGCUUGCCCACAGGUACACUAGAAUAAAAAAUUACUCCUGAAGCCUGUAUAGUCAUGAAUGCAUUAUGUCUAACGCACAUGACUCAGUUUAGCUGCAAGUUUUACAAAAUUAUGCUUUAUCUGUGAUUAGAUUAACACCUACAGAUGAAAUACGAAUUUAAACUUUUCAACAUACAGUUUGUUUUUUUCAGCAGGCUCCCAUUAGAGUAAAUGGAACAGAAUUUAUUGUUUUUGCAAAAAUUGUAGCAUGUGACAGAUUUUAGUAUUACAGAUUAUUUGGAGAAGUAAGUAAACUCCAACCUUUUUAAAAGGUGUUCUUGCCCUACUAAGCAUCUUUCAAUUGUUUAAAUCUCUCCUAAACUUCACUUUGUGACAGAUUACCUCAGUGGUGUUUGCCCUCCUUCCACCUGAAGUCUGUAAACUCUGCAUCUGUUUUGGACUGUAUAUCAUAUAGGGAUUAUCUGUGGUUUGUUUUGUCAAACACUGAAGGCACUGUCACCAUUUCAAUAAAUAUUGCACAUUAGUUUGAAAUGA